CCCUUAGAUGUUCUGGGUCGCACGCGUGCUACACUGAGUGGAUCAGCGGGUCAGGUUGCGCGAAAGUGUUUCCUAAUCUUGAAAUCCGCUCGUGAUGGGGAUUGACGGUUGCAAUUUUCCGUCAUGAACGAGGAAUACCUUGUAAGCGCGGGUCAUCAUCCCGCGCUGAAUACGUCCCUGCCCUUUGUACACACCGCCCGUCGCUCCUACCGAUUGAGUGGUCCGGUGAGGCUUUGGGAUCUGAGCAAAAAGAGCGUUUCGCUCGUUUGGCUCGGAAAACUCAGUCGAACCUUAUCAUUUAGAGGAAGGAGAAGUCGUAACA
rnacentral:rRNA from 1 species